ACUCCUACGGGAGGCAGCAGUAGGGAAUUUUCCGCAAUGGGACGAAAGUCUGACGGAGCAAUGCCGCGUGAGUGAUGAAGGUUUUCGAAUCGUAAAGCUCUGUUGUAAGGGAAGAAUAGCAGUAGUAGGAAACUGACUACUGUGUGACGGUACCUUACCAGAAAGCCACGGCUAACUACGUGCCAGCAGCCGCGGUAAUACGUAGGUGGCAAGCGUUAUCCGGAAUUAUUGGGCGUAAAGCGCAUGUAGGCGGCUCUUUAAGUCUGAUGUGAAAGCCUGUGGCUCAACCACAGAAUUGCA
rnacentral:rRNA from 1 species